rnacentral:tRNA from 1 species
GCGGUUCAUAGCGGUUCAUAGCGGUUGUAAUUAGAUUCUUGAGGGGCUGGUAGGGAAUCUCCCUGUGUGGGUUCAAAUCCCAUUGACCGCA